rnacentral:rRNA from 1 species
AUCCUGGCUCAGAUUGAACGCUGGCGGCAUGCCUUACACAUGCAAGUCGAACGGCAGCGGACCUUCGGGUGCCGGCGAGUGGCGAACGGGUGAGUAAUAUAUCGGAACGUACCUUUCAGUGGGGGAUAACGUAGCGAAAGUUACGCUAAUACCGCAUAUUCUGUGAGCAGGAAAGCAGGGGAUCGCAAGACCUUGCGCUUAUUGAGCGGCCGAUAUCAGAUUAGCUAGUUGGUGAGGUAAAGGCUCACCAAGGCGACGAUCUGUAGCGGGUCUGAGAGGAUGAUCCGCCACACUGGAACUGAGACACGGUCCAGACUCCUACGGGAGGCAGCAGUGGGGAAUUUUGGACAAUGGGCGCAAGCCUGAUCCAGCCAUGCCGCGUGAGUGAAGAAGGCCUUCGGGUUGUAAAGCUCUUUCGGCCGGGAAGAAAUCGCACGGGUUAAUACCCUGUGUGGAUGACGGUACCGGAAUAAGAAGCACCGGCUAACUACGUG